rnacentral:lncRNA from 1 species
UAACUAAACUAAACAAACCGGGUCGGAAGCUCUAUCGACCGCUACGAACGUAUCUCACGUCUCGUCUUAACCCUCACCGCCCGCAAUACCUGAAAAAAUGGUGGGGGAGGUAAGAACAUAUAAACAUGUCUCCCCUCCCAGUAGGUACCGUAAGCCACGAAGGCGAGGAGUACUCACCGGAUCAGGAAGAGAUAAACAAGGUCAUGAGCAGAUAUAACGACUACAGUAGCAAUAAAACUGAAAAGAAGGAAAACAAUAACAGAAUA